AUGAGCUUUCAAUCUGAGGAAGAGGCAUACCAGUUCUAUAAUUCUUAUGCUAAAAUAAAAGAAUUUAGCAUUAGAAAGUGCCACCUGAAGCUUAGAGCACAUAACACUGUAAGUGCCAGAUAUUUAGUUUGUAGCAAGGCAGGUGUGAAGGCCACUCAUCCAACACAUGUACCCAAGAAAGAACAAGCUAUUUCGACGACUGAUUGCAUGGCACGUGUUCAAUUCAGCAUCAAUCCGGAGGGUGUUUGGAGUGUUCAAAAAGUCAUCCUUGAGCACAAUCAUCAGCUUGUAAGUCCAGACAAGAGGCACAUGCUUAGAUCGCAGCGUCAACUCUUAGAUGCUGACCGCCACAUGAUUAAGCAAAUGAGGACAUCCGGAAUUAAACAAGCUGAAAUAUAUGAUUUCUGUGAGCUUUGGUAUGGUAAAGAUGCUAUGUCAUUCUUGCAAAUGGAUUGCAACAAUUACUUACGAAGUGAGCGCUCGAAGUAUUUGGAGACCAAAGAUGCACAAACAUUAACAGAGUAUAAAAAUAAGCAAGCUGAGGACCCUUCAUUUUUCUAUGCCAUGCAAUUAAAUGAUGAUGAUGGUACAAUAAUGAAUAUCUUUUGGACUGAUAGACAAGCUAUCAUGGAUUAUUCUGUCUUUGGAGAUGUUGUUUCCUUUGACACCACAUUUUCAACAAAUAAGUUUCCAAUGUCAUUCGCUCCAUUUAUUGGUGUUAAUCAUCACAAACAGACUGUUCUUUUUGGUGCAGUGCUGCUAUAUGAUGAAACUGCAGAUACAUUUGAGUGGGUUUUUAGAACUUUCCUACAAGCUAUGUCGGGUAAGCAGCCUGAGACAAUAUUCCGUUUCCUAAGUGCUGCCAUUAUAAAUGCUAUUGGAAGGGUUUUCCGGGAAACACAACAUCGUCUUUGUUUAUGGCAUUUGUAUCAAAAUGCCGCUAAACAUCUAAGUCAAGUAAUCAGUGAUCAUCCUAAGUUUAUUAAAGAAUUCAAAAGAUGUGUGUAUGAAGAUAGACCAGUGGCACAUUUUGAGAAUAGAUGGCAUGAGCUAUUGGUUAAGUACCAGAUCGAGGGAAAUUCUUGGCUAAACAAUCUGUACAAAUUGCAUGAGAAGUGGGCUACUAUUUAUCGCAGGGAAUCUUCUAAUGCGGACAUGACAUCAACACAAAGGAGUGAAGGAAAACAAUGUGUUCAAGAAAACUUUCCACAAAAGACUAUGCCUUUCAGAGUUGAUAGAAGCAUAUGA
rnacentral:rRNA from 1 species